CCUACGGGAGGCAGCAGUAGGGAAUCUUCCGCAAUGGACGAAAGUCUGACGGAGCAACGCCGCGUGAGUGAUGAAGGUUUUCGGAUCGUAAAGCUCUGUUGUUAGGGAAGAACAAGUGCCGUUCGAAUAGGGCGGCACCUUGACGGUACCUAACCAGAAAGCCACGGCUAACUACGUGCCAGCAGCCGCGGUAAUACGUAGGUGGCAAGCGUUGUCCGGAAUUAUUGGGCGUAAAGCGCGCGCAGGUGGUUCCUUAAGUCUGAUGUGAAAGCCCACGGCUCAACUGUGGAGGGUCAUUGGAAACUGGGGAACUUGAGUGCAGAAGAGGAAAGUGGAAUUCCAAGUGUAGCGGUGAAAUGCGUAGAUAUUUGGAGGAACACCAGUGGCGAAGGCGACUUUCUGGUCUGUAACUGACACUGAGGCGCGAAAGCGUGGGGAGCAAACAGGGUUAGAUACCCUGGUAGUCCACGCCGUAAACGAUGAGUGCUAAGUGUUAGGGGGUUUCCGCCCCUUAGUGCUGCAGCUAACGCAUUAAGCACUCCGCCUGGGGAGUACGGUCGCAAGACUGAAACUCAAAUGAAUUGACGG
rnacentral:rRNA from 1 species